ACAAACUUGGUCAUUUAGAGGAAGUAAAAGUCGUAACAAGGUUUCCGUAGGUGAACCUGCGGAAGGAUCAUCAAUGAAAUUUUAUUGAAUUUUUUUUUAUAAAGAAGUGUUUAUUUUCUUCUUUAUAAAAAAAAAUUCUCUUAUUAUAAACGCCUUUAAUUGUGUGUGAUUGAUUUUAAUCAAUCAAUAAUUAUAAAUUUUAUACAAAUUAUUAGAUUUUUAUAAUCUAUAAAAAACAAACAACUUUUAACGAUGGAUCUCUUGGCUCUCGCAUCGAUGAAGAACGCAGC
rnacentral:misc_RNA from 1 species